GUUAUAAAACAGGGAAUGAGAAAUGAGGAAAUGAGAAAUGAGGAAAUGAGGAAAUGAGGAAAUAAGAAAUAGGAAAUGAGGAAAUGAAGAAAUGAGAACGAGAAAUGAGCUGUUAGGCAGAGCAUAUCUAUGGGCAGAGCAAGUCUGAAGACGAAGCUAACAUCUACUGUGCUACAGUCCCACAGUCUCAAACAAUUUACCUAUGCGUGGCUAUACUGGCAAUACAUUCACUGAUUUCACAAUCCGGUGGGCAAGUGAUAGUCAAUGGACUGGACUCAAUGUCAACAUCUACAUGGUGAAGAAAGCAAUUCCCAUUACCAUUCUCACAAGCAAUGCCUAGUGAAAGCUGAUGCUACCUUUAAUGAAGAAAGCUCACUGUGCCAUCUGAAGCGAUGGUAAAAUUUAAUUCUUACAAUGUGUCCGACAACCUGUACUGUGUGGAGGUGCCACUAUAUAAUUAUAUAUUUGAUAACUAAAUACUUAGUCACCUACUAGCUUCUUGGC